AGAACAGAGGGUGGCGUUGGCU
rnacentral:miRNA from 1 species